UAUAUUAUUGUCUGUAUCGGCGAGUGGUUGCUGUAAACGGAUCAGUAUCUACGAGAAGUCUUCAAACAUUUCGGGACUAUCUGGAGGAAUUCGCCGAGUUCCACCUAAAGUGCAUUAUGGCUGGAGAGCUUAACGUGCAACCGGCAGUUUCUCUUCAAUGCCCUUCAGGAAGAGUAACGCGUUUUUCUCUGUUGAUUUGCAGGAAUUUUAUCAAAAAUGGAUGUAAAUGAGCCGUCGACGUCAACAGAAGAGGUUGGCUGGGCCUCAGGGUUAUCGAUUGCGGAUCAAGUGAAAGCUGCUGCUGAAGAAGCCCAAGCUCAAUCAGGAUUUGAAUAUCAUGAAGAAACUGGCCUCUAUUAUGAUUCAACAACACAGAUGUAUUACAACUCAGAGACCGGCCUCUAUUAUAAUGGCUUUACAGGAACAUGGUAUCAAUAUGAUGAAGCCAUGUGUGAAUAUGUGGUGCAUCACCAAGUCGAAGGAUUCACCUUUGAAAAUGCAGUUGCUGAACAUGUUCUGCAUUCUAUAGACAACUACACAUCAGAAUUAUCUAAAAAAGUUGAAGCUGAAAUUAAGUCCAAUAAACAAGAAGGUGAACUGUCAGAUGAAGAUGUAAAUGAAGUAGACCUGAAAAAUAACAAGACCAAAGGUGAAGCACACAAGCUUGCAGAACGUCUACCUCCUUGUGCUCGGUUUUUGGUUGUGAGUUCUUCUAUCGAUAGAGUGAAGAUUGGUUCUUUAUUUGUUGUACCUUAUACUGGUGGAACCAUUGGAAGACUACCAGAAUGUGAAGUUUCUUUAGAUGAUGUAAAUGUUAGUAAGAAGCAUGCUAAGUUUGGAUACAACCAGGAUGAAAAAUCUUUUACCAUUAUUGAUUUGGGCAGUCGGAACGGUACCUUCAUUCACAUGGAACGGCUUUCUGAGUCUAAAGAAACGAGCGAAGAAUACAUUUUGGCCCAUGAUUCCCAGAUACAAGUUGGGAGUAUCACACUUUUAUGUCACAUUCAUGCUGGCUUGGAAACAUGUGAUGGCUGUGAACCAGGUUUGGUGAUCAAAGAGCAAGGAAACAAAGAUAUUGGCAGUUCAGUUUCAGCUAACAAAGAAGAUUUGGAGAAAGCUCGUAAAAGGGAGCUCAAAAAGAUACGUCAAAAAUUUGGACUUAAGCUGCAUGAUUCUGAUGACUCAGUGUCACUGAAGCCAGGUUACCAAGAUCGAGCGGAAGUUCGACGACAGACAGUAGGCAUUGAUCCUGUUGGCGCGAAGACGGAACAGGCUUCUACUCUUGUGCCAAUAGCAAAAAAGAAUAAGGGAUUUCAAAUGUUGGCUAAAAUGGGUUGGAAUGAAGGUACAGCUCUGGGUAAAACGGAAUCUGCUGAUGCUAUCAUUGAACCAAUAUCAGUAGACAUGAGAGCCGGUAGAGAAGGCUUGGGAGCCGAUGCAAUUCCUUCAAUCAGCUCGUUUCAUUCGGAUGCUUCAAGAAAACGACGAGCUGACGUGUUAGAAAAAACAAGACACCGAUACUCACAAGCGCAAUAAGGAGCGUGUUAUUUCCCUUCUCUUCCAUCGUAAUCAUUUACCUAUCGUUUGCUGGAUGGGAAGGAACAUCUACAGCUGACCAGGUAGAAGGGAAAGCAAAGGAAUGUCAACACGACGAGCAAGAUUGAUUAAUAUUUAAUCAAGGGACAUAGGUAAGGAACUGAAAAAUACGAGGGCUCUGACACAUCUGGACCAACCAGCUGAGGUGAAAAAUCUUCAAAUAGUGUUUUUUCUAAGAGGAAAAUAACUUGACUGAUAAGGAUAAUUUUUCUGAUUGGAUUCUCCAACCAUCGACUGAGACCAUCAAAUUCCAUGUACACCUAAAAAUUGGUUUUAAAUUCAGAAAACAAAAAAAAAUAA